rnacentral:rRNA from 1 species
UACGUAGGGUGCGAGCGUUAAUCGGAAUUACUGGGCGUAAAGUGUGCGCAGGCGGCUAUCCAAGUCAGUGGUGAAAGCCCGGAGCUCAACUCCGGAACUGCCAUUGAAACUGUUUAGCUUGAGGACGAGAGAGGUGAGUGGAAUUCCCAGUGUAGAGGUGAAAUUCGUAGAUAUUGGGAAGAACACCGGUGGCGAAGGCGGCUCACUGGCUCGUAUCUGACGCUCAGGCGCGACAGCGUGGGGAUCAAACAGG